UUAUAACUGUUUGUUGUUCAUGGUUGGC
rnacentral:piRNA from 1 species